rnacentral:lncRNA from 1 species
GGCAUUAAAUUUAUACUUGCCAAUUCCAUGUGGCCACGGCUGCUGUACACUUGUCCAAAAUGUCGUCUCUUGCUGCAUGUUGCACGUUUCGUCGCAUGUUGAAGUACUUUCGAACAGUACAAGUUGGUGGAAUUUGUUCUCAAUGUGUAGUGCCAAUUCAACAAGAUGCCUCUGUGAUCAUGCCUUUGAAGAGGUCUCUUAUCAUGUUGCGAGAUGAAAAUGUGAAGAAAAGGGAAGUAAACUACUUGUAAUAAGACAACUUGAGUGGGAAUUCUUGGUCAGGCUGGUGUUGGAGUUGUUAAUGGUGGUGAUGUCUGGUGUGCAUUGGUGUGGCAGUCAUUUUCCAAAAUAAGGGAUGUGCUGAAAUGGAUCUUCUGCAGACUUGAAAGUUUAACAUCAGGCUUAAAUUUACCAUGUUGGUGUCCAUGCAGUGUUCAGCUGUUGUGUAAAAUAAUUGGUGUUUCCUAAAGGCUGUCUGGCAUUUUGUUGGUGUAUUCUCUUGAUACCUGUACCCACUUUGGGUUCAAUCGUACGCCGCCGUUCCAGACUUGAUCUAUUGGUGAAGCCGAGAAGAAGUUGCUGAAAUUCAAAACCAUUAUAUUAUUUAUAUUGAGAGAAAUUUAAAAUGUCAAUCUAUUGUUCCUUCCCCUAAGUGAUCUCUGUUAACUAAUAAUAUUGUGAAAACUAGGAACGUCAAGAUGGAAUGAAUAAUUGCCACGACAUUUUUUAUAUUUUAUGGGAAGAAAAUUCUUAUGCUGUAAUCAACUACUGCUACUAUAUAUAUACUACUAUAACUACUGCUACUAUAUUGUAAUCAAACUUGUUAUAAUACUACAACUAUUCCAUUUUAA